CCUACGGGGGGCAGCAGUGGGGAAUAUUGGACAAUGGGGGGAACCCUGAUCCAGCCAUGCCGCGUGUGUGAAGAAGGCCCUCGGGUUGUAAAGCACUUUCAGCGAGGAAGAACGCCUGGUGGUUAAUACCCAUCAGGAAAGACAUCACUCACAGAAGAAGCACCGGCUAACUCCGUGCCAGCAGCCGCGGUAAUACGGAGGGUGCGAGCGUUAAUCGGAAUUACUGGGCGUAAAGCGCGCGUAGGUGGCUUGAUAAGCCGGUUGUGAAAGCCCCGGGCUCAACCUGGGAACGGCAUCCGGAACUGUCAAGCUAGAGUGCAGGAGAGGAAGGUAGAAUUCCCGGUGUAGCGGUGAAAUGCGUAGAGAUCGGGAGGAAUACCAGUGGCGAAGGCGGCCUUCUGGACUGACACUGACACUGAGGUGCGAAAGCGUGGGUAGCAAACAGGAUUAGAUACCCCGGUAGUC
rnacentral:rRNA from 1 species